rnacentral:rRNA from 1 species
CCUACGGGAGGCAGCAGUGGGGAAUAUUGGACAAUGGGCGCAAGCCUGAUCCAGCCAUACCGCGUGUGUGAAGAAGGCCUUUUGGUUGUAAAGCACUUUAAGCGAGGAGGAGGGCACUUUGGCUAAUACCCGAAUGUGUCGGACGUUACUCGCAGAAUAAGCACCGGCUAACUCUGUGCCAGCAGCCGCGGUAAUACAGAGGGUGCGAGCGUUAAUCGGAAUUACUGGGCGUAAAGCGCGCGUAGGCGGCUUGUUAAGUCGGAUGUGAAAUCCCCGGGCUCAACCUGGGCACUGCAUUCGAUACUGGCAAGCUAGAGUAUGGGAGAGGAAGGUAGAAUUCCAGGUGUAGCGGUGAAAUGCGUAGAGAUCUGGAGGAAUACCGAUGGCGAAGGCAGCCUUCUGGCCUAAUACUGACGCUGAGGUGCGAAAGCAUGGGGAGCAAACAGGAUUAGAUACCCUGGUAGUCCAUGCCGUAAACGAUGUCAACUAGCCGUUGGGGACCUUGAGUCCUUAGUGCGCAGCUAACGCGAUAAGUUGACCCGCCUGGGGAGUCGGUCGCGAAGCUUAAAACCGNGAAAGAUUGACGCNGAGAGNGCGAGGACGACACGAGGGAGGAG